GAGAGGAGGCCCCACGUGAUGCGAAGCAGCACGUUAUAAUGGGGCCGACGACCUGCCGCCGACGCUGAAAGCGGAGGGGGCGAUACCAUAU
rnacentral:sRNA from 12 species